CUACUGCCAUACAUCUUUACAACCCUUCACCUGAGCCCAAAUAUACCUUAUAACUACACUCUUGCCUCUACGCAGAUUGCUGUUUUCCCGUUACAACUGCUCAUGUGUCAGAAUCCAAGCUCAGAAGUCUGAAGUUUAAAUGGCAACACCAAAUGUUGGAGAGGAUGUGAACCAGGACUGCCAGUGAGAGUGCAGAAUGGAGCAACCACUUCGGGAAAAGGCAUGGAAGUCUCUUAUAAAGUUAAACACACCUAUUCUUCGACUCAGCCGUUCUACUCCUGGAAUAGGUCUGCUAAGUAGCAUGGAGUGGUAGCUAAUAGCAUGAACUUUAAACCAGACUUUCAAGGUUUGCACCUGGGCUCUACCACCUUUUAACUUGAGACUUUGGGUAAGUUGUUUAACUUCUUAAUGUUUUGCUUUCUUCAUUCUUAAAGCACAAUAAUAUCUACCCCAUUAGGUUGUUAUAAAGAAUAAAAGUGUUAAUACAUGUACAUCUUAAAGUGUUACGUGGCACUAAGUAAGGUGCUGAAGUCGUGGUAGCUAUUAUUAUUUGCAGCCUGUGGUUCAUAGGGUCCCUGCCUUGCCAUGAAAACCAUUUCAUGGCAAACUAUAAAAAAGCAAUUAAAGACCUUACUUUUCAUUUAUAUUCCUUUAAAUAACUCUGCUUAGAAAUUUUCUUAUAAACCUACACUGUCCAACAUGGUGGCUAUUAGCCAUCUGUAGCUACUGAGUACUUGAAAUGUGGCUGAUUGGAAGACUAGGGUUGCAAGUAUAAAGUAAACCAGAUCUUUAAAAUUUAGAGGAGUGACCUCAGUGAAAAUAACAGAGUAAGAAAUACCUAAAGCUUCCCCUCUAAAGUGCAACUGUAAACUGGCAAAAACUGUCAGAAUCAACUUUUUCAGAACUCUGGACAGUAAUCAAAAGCUUGAAGCAGCUUGGGAAGCAUUUUUUUAAGAAAAGCAGUAGCAUCCUGAUAAGACCAGUGAGCUUUGUGGCAUUUUAACUUGCCUGAGUCCCAUUUCUUGUACCCUGAGGGAUGCAAGAAACAAGGAAGUAUGGCCCAUACAUGGAAGAAAAAGCAGUCAAUAUAAAACUAUCCCUAAAGAAGCCCAGACAUUAAACGACAAGGAUUUUAAAUCAGCCAUCUUAAGUAAGUGGUCUGGAACUGGAUGCAUCGUAUCUCCAUGGUAUCCCUGUAUAUAUGUGUGCAUAUAUAUUUGCAGGACUUCAAGAACUCAGGAGGAAAUACCAAAAAAAAGCUUUCGGAAGGAUUUUGAGCAGCAGCAGCAUAUUGAAAUAAAUGUACACAGCAUGGAUAGCUGGAAACAUAUUUAGAUCCCUAUCCAUGUGACCACUUUCCAUCAGAAGAUAGCUGUUUGAAUUGUCAGCUCAAAAGCGCCCACUGCCCAGCAAGGCCAAAUGCCAACACACAAAACAACCCUUCAAACCAGUGAAGUUUAUCUCUAUGCCAAACACAGCUUUGAAAUACAAGUUUAGAUAGAAUGUGAACCGCUGAUGAAGAACUGCUUCAAGGGACUCAGCCCUGUAAAGGGCCAGAGGGGUAAACAUGGUCUUCCAUGUGAAUGAACUGCAGUGGCUGCAUAUUGAUGAGACACAUUCAAGUCUUACCUUCGGUGGUGCAGUCAAAAGUAGACUCUUUCCUUGCUCGGGUAUGAAAGCCUAUCUCUAAACAGUUUUACCAGCUCUGUGGUGCUAGACAAUUGGACAAGUGAAAGAGAGGAUGGUAAUGACUGGACAGUAAGAACAACCCAGUGAGCACAGUUGGAAGUUGGAAAUAUCUCCAGCCUUUGUCCUUCAUUCGUGACCCCCUCAGCCUGGAAACCUUGGCAUAUUGCUAAAGCUCCUCUUAGAGAAAAUAGCUCCAGUGGUGAGAGUUGAAAUCUCAAUUUUGCCUCCGUAUGACACACACCAGAUCAUGCUGUUCCUCUCCUUGAAAACUUUCAACGUUUCCUCUUUCUUGCAGAAUGGAGUUCACACUCCUUUGCCUGUGAUCUAAGGUUCUCUCCCACCUCCUAUCUGCCCACAGCUUCAGCUCUUCCAUCGGGAGAACUUCCCCAGGGGCCUUCACCGUAGGAACUCUCUGCCUACAACUUGCCACUCCCUGGAUGUGUCCCAGGAUCUUUUGUACACAUUCUAUGAGCUCAUCUCCCAGGUAAGUAGUCCUCACCUUGCCCGCCACUGACUAAAUCCCAUUCAUCCUUAAAACCCUGUGAAAUUCAAGUCUACUGUGAGAAGUUCUUCUUUUAAAUUCUUUAGCAUUUACUGUUUCUACCACUUACCUGGCCUUAGCAUGUUCUGCUUUCUGUUGUUGCUUGACUGGUAAGCUACAGAAGAGGGUCUGGAUCUUGGCCUUUUUUUGUGAGUCUCCCCUCAACACACACACACGUGCAUGCACGCGCCCCACAUAGCACAAGGCUGAGAACACUGAGAAUGCUCAAUAAAGAAACAUUUUUUUGGCCUGAAUGAAUGGCCUGAAGGACUGUUCCUUUCAACAAUUAUGGCCCAAUAAAUUAUACUGGCAUUGCCUCCUAGAGAGAAAGGCCACACUAAGGCUCCACAGAUGGGGAAACUGCUCUGUCUGCCAAAACCCAGAUUCAGGGCAGCCUUGGCCCUGUUUGGCUGUCUACCUGAAUCUGGGUUUAACAACUUGGACUACAGUUUUACAGCCUAAGUCACCAGGCUAGCACAGCAGCAUGAGUUCUUUGUCCACAUGCUGGUGCCAGGUGUUAAAGGGAACUGGCUCACUCUGCUUAAGGAG
ensembl:lncRNA